GGCUGAUUCGUGGUCACGCGGCUUCAGAUGACCAGUCGCUAGUUCUAUCUUUGUUGAUAAGUUUAUUUAUUAUUCUCAUUCAUCGUUUACGGGUACAAGCGCAUAUUAUAGUUUGACUAUAAUUUGAGACAGUGUUUCCAAGAUUCGUCUGAAUAGCGGAAAAAAGGCAGCAAGAGUUAAAGACUGUCUUUCUACAGGAGAGAAAUGUAUACACAGCAUUUCGGAGCUUGCAUCGAUCGGGGUCGCGUUCCUUAUUUUUGUCAUUUUGAGAACGGAAAACAUUCGUCUAAGUGCGUAAUGAAUUUGGAAUUUUUAUCUGAAAAUGGCCAUUAAUUUGACGACUAGCGCCAGUCCUUGUCCGCAAGUCCUGUUUAUUUAGUCAUACAGUCGGUAAUUAUCAAUGGAAAAAUUUCGUUUUUUCAGUACAUUGUCAAGAAAAUGUCUUAAUGUAACCGAAUGUCGAACCAUGCCAUAUUUAUUCAUACUGCCUUUAUACACUGCAUUCAUUACACCAUCAUGCAUUACAUUACAAUUACAUAAUAUUUUUACAGCUAAAACCAUAUUUUCUAAUCUACAGGGACCGGUUGUAUAAAUAUACAGAAACACUGUAUGUAUGAAAUUCAUUCAAACCUUUCAAAACUCGUUAUAAAUUGUUAGCGUUUGGGUAAAUUUUAAUUUUUUGCUCAAGAUUGUUGUCACCACGAAAAUAUAAAAUUCCAGUUCCGCCACGAUUAACGACCCACCAAACCAUAGCACAUGAUUCAAAAUCACAUAUAUUUCCAAUAUCAUAUAUUUCAAAAGCUAUAAAAACUAGAACAAUGUAUAAAAGAUGCAAUAUUUUAGUUACAUUAGAAUGAGUAACAUAGCAAAUUAAGACUUUUACUUUUUAGAAUGGUCCGGCUCAAAUUCCGAUAAUGCGAAAGAAUUUUUGACAGGUUUGAACAAAUUAAAUCCCGAAAACUGAAGAUUUAAGGUAUGCGGGAACAAACAAUCGCGCAAAAGUUAACAUACCUUAUAUUACUUUAAGGUAUGUGACACAGCGUAUACAGUUAACUGCAACUAACACAACCGGCCCCAUAAUAAUCAUUAUCAUCUAUCAGUUAACCAAUUACACAAACAAUCAAGCACUUAUUUAAUCAAUCGACACGUACAAUAAUCAAUAAAACAAAAAUCAGCAACACUUAUAUGGACUGAUCAUUCUCGCUAUAUAUAUGCAUAAGCAUGGAUUGUAAAAUAAAUGGAUAGGAAACUAGCUGACGUGAUCUGAUGUUUUCAAUGGACUGAUGGCGUGGUUAGAUGUCCAAGCCUAGUUGCAAACCAAAUUCUCAAAAACGGCAUGUUUAGCAAUAAUACAGCUAAACAUUUUAGUCAAAGAGCAAAUAAAUAUAACUACGCCAUUCUACGAUGAAAUCUGUAAGUACUUCCAGUCAAUUUUAGCAAAUAUUUCAAGCACUAAACAGUGAAAAAUGCAUCGCAAAUUUCGUUAAAAUUGGCGACGCCAAUUUCGUAGCUACAAAUGUAAAAAGAAUACAAAACAAAGACGAAAAACAUUGACCUUGAAUACUUUGUCGUGGCUUAGGCAUGUUUUUAAAAUAAUUAGACCAGUUUAUGCUUCAAUAUUACUCUUUUAAAGCGGAAAAUAUAGCGAAACAAUGAAAUUGUUGAGAACUUUGGCAGUAUGCGUGACGUCACAGAUUGCAACUAGGUUUAGACUGUGAUGUCAGGAAGUUUCCUAGCCACUUCUACAUAGCUAGUACCUUAUCCACGGUAUAAGGUACAACAAAUCAACAAAAUCCACUAUAGGCAUCUUUAUUACUAAAUAGUUUCGUACCACAAUGUGUGGCACUCUUCAGAUAAAUUGAUGUAAUUAUAGGUCAAUUUAUCUGAAAAGUGAUAUCUUGUGGUAAGAAACUAUUUAGUAGUUAUGUGGUUUGGUUAGCAAAAUGCUAAAAAGUGCUCGAUAUCAUAUAGAUAGAGCAGAUAUUACUGUUUUAACUCAAAAGGUUGCCACAACAGCCUGUUUAAUCCAUGCAAGAGGAAUCAUCAGGUAGAUCCUCUUGGUUUCCUUUUGGAUGAAACAGGCUGUUGUGGCAACCUUUUGAGGUUUAUAUAUAUAUAUAUAUAUAUAUAUAUAUAUAUAUAUAUAUAUAUAUAUAUAUAUAUAUAUAUAUAUAUAUAUAUAGUAUAAUUACAUAGGUGAUUAUUGACGAAUUCUCCACGCUGAUUGGUUGCCGUUGAGGUGAUUAUUACGCGAUAAUCACCUAAGCGAUUUUCAAAAUGGCGGCCGAAGCCUUUUUGUCAAUUAAAUGACGAAGAAAUGUGUAUUUUUUU